AAUUCUCAACCUUUUCAGCUUUUUUACAAAGUUGAAUAGGAUUGGAUAUGGGGGUUGAGGGCUACUCAGAAGUCGGCUCCUCUUAAAUGCAUUAGCAAAAUCUUUGUGGACCAGCUCUGGUGUGAUAAUUAUCUACGCCUUUGCCUGUUAACACAUCUUUAUAGGAUUUAGCUUCUAACCGUCCAUUGACUUGGACAAUUUCUGACA
rnacentral:misc_RNA from 1 species